rnacentral:misc_RNA from 1 species
AGUCCCGCUUUCUGAUAAUGUUAAUCACACUUAAACAUGUAAUCAAUGUACACUCUCGACAUAAUUUUGAUUGUACUUUGUGAUUUACUCUGGUUUAUUCACAGUUUUCACGGAGCCAAUAAAUACAUGUAGAACCUGAUGAGGCUUUUGUCGAAACCCUUGCAUUUCUAUGACCUGCGACCUAUGACCCACACCUGUGCGAUUCCCCAGCUGUAGCACUAGAAUUGAGGAGCUAUACCACCUGAAGUGCUGCCGCUACAGUGAAAACUCCUAGCUGCUAAAUGCAAUCAUCGCUCCUCUCCAUUUGAUGCCAGCACUGCUCAACUGAGGCUGCAGCAUUCAGAUGACCAGGCAUGCUGAGAGUUUGAGACUCCUCUGAUGUAGGCGUUGACAUCCAAGCAACUCCCGCCCACAUUUGACAUCUGACAUCUGAUGAAGAGCAGCCCCUCGCUGAGCCAGAACUCCUGUGAACUCUGAGCGUCUGGGAACAUGGAAUUAUGUGAACUGUUGAAUACAUGUCCAUUCAAUUGCCUAGUUUCAUUACCCCGUGAUAAUUUACAUACAUGUACAGUGAUUGCUGCAUUGAGUAUGUUUUCUUGGAUUUGUUAUGUUGUAAUGCUCGAGUAUAAACAUUUGUAUUACGACAUUUGCAGAUGUAUUUUCAGUAAUUUGAUAUGUUGCAAAUAGAUUGGUAUAUGUUCAUGUACACAUGCAGAUGAUAACAUGUUUACAGGCAUGUUGGAGAGUUUAAUCCAUUUGUUGGAAGUUUAAUAUUGAAAGGUAGUUUGAGAUUUUGCGACUGCAAUUCCUUAUACACGUACAUGUAUGCUAAAUGUAGUGUGUUUGACUAAGGUGGCCUAUAGAGGACCUUGUAUAUUGUUGCUUGUUCUCUUAAGAUUUUACAUGCACUACGUGUAAGUCACCUUGUACCGUUAUCAUGUCGUCAAAGGACAAAACAGAGAAGACUGAACCAGGUUCUCCAAGUACGCCAAUACCCUUUUCGAUUUCAACACCAACUACUUCCUACGGAGAUCAAGAAAUUGGUUCUGCAGCCACUUUAGAGUCGACUAUUGGAGACCAUCAGCUGAUGAAGAGGAAACAAGGGCACAUUCACGAGGCUGACACUAGAUCCGAACUAUCCGUUCGAACCAAGUCAUCACGCCGAACAUGUUCUUCCCAAUUGUCCAUGGUUUCCACAAAGGCUGCCCUUGCAGCCGAAGCAGCUGCUUUAAAGACACGGCUUCAGUACGCCGAUGCUGAAAAUGCAAAGAAGGCUGAACUAGAAAUGAAGCAUGCUGAGCUUGAAAAGCUACGCACCAUGCGAGACCUCCAGGUAACUGAAGCCAAACUGGAUGCUAUUUGUAGGGUGCAGCAAGAAGAAAAUGCUCAUCCCAGCAUUAGCGAAAUGGUGGAACCAGAAGAUAAAGACGUGAUGAUGGAGAAUUAUCUUGGAUCAUUUCAGACAUCAAAUCACAACUCUGAUGACUGCGUAGUCUCCGAAGGACUAACGACAACAGGGACACACGUCGUCCCAACUGCGACAACAGGGACACAUGUCGUCCCAACUGCGACCCUGGGCAUGCAACUUGCCCCAACUGCGACAACAGGGACACAUGUCGUCCCAACUACGACCUCGGGCAUGCAACUUGCCCCAACUGCGACUCCGGGCUCAUAUUUUGCGCCAACUGCGACAACAGGGACACAUGUCGUCCCAACUGCGACCUCGGGCAUGCACCUUGCCCCAACUGCGACUCCGGGCUCAUAUUUUGCCCCAACUGCGACAACAGGGACACAUGUCGUCCCAACUGCGACCCUGGGCAUGCACCUUGCCCCAACUGCGACAACAGGGACACAUGUCGUCCCAACUGCGACCUCGGACAUGCACCUUGCCCCAACUGCGACUCCGGGCUCAUAUUUUGCCCCAACUGCGACAACAGGGACACAUGUCGUCCCAACUGCGACCUCGGGCAUGCACCUUGCCCCAACUGCGACUCCGGGCUCAUAUUUUGCCCCAACUGCGACAACAGGGACACAUGUCGUCCCAACUGCGAUCCCGGGCAUGCAACUUGCCCCAACUGCGACAAUAGGGACACAUGUCGUCCCAACUGCGACCCCGGGCAUGCAACUUGCCCCAACUGCGACAACAGGGACACAUGUAGCCCAUCCUGCGACCCCAGGUAUCCAACUAGUCCCAACUGCGACUACAGAACCACAUAGUGCCGAACAGUCGUCAACAGCACACAUACUUGGCAUAACAAAAUGCCUGGUAGAUCAGCUCAGCCUGAGUCGUUUGCCCCCUCCAGAGCCUGGACUUUUCUCUGGGGACCCGCUCAAAUUUCCGAGUUGGAAAAGUAGUUUUGAAACACUGAUCGAGCGCCGAGGAAUACCUCCAUCAGAACGCCUUCACUACCUCAAGAAAUACUUGGCAGGGUCUGCGAAGGAUGUUGUCGAAGGCUUCUUCCUGUUGUCAGAGGACGAUGCCUACCUCAAAGCGAAGGAACUUCUCCAACAGAGAUUUGGUGACCCCUUCAUUGUAGCGAGCGCCUUCCGGGAUAAGUUAGAUUCCUGGACUAAGAUUAACUCCAGAGAUGGUACAGGCCUUCGACGUUUUGCGGACUUCUUGCGACAGUGUGAAGCUGCGAUGCAAACCAUCCAAAGCUUGAAGAUUCUCAAUGAUGAAAGGGAGAACAGGAAAUUGCUCACUAAGAUACCGGAGUGGCUGGUUGCACGGUGGUCCCGAAAAGCAGCGGAAUCAAAGGAAAUCAAGAAGAGAUUCCCUCCUUUUAGUGAAUUUGUGAGCUUCAUAACAAGAGAGGCCAACAUCGCAUGUGACCCAGUCACAUCACUCCAGUCUGUGAAAGCAAUUGACAAGCCUGACGAAUCAAAUAGCUCCAGGACAAGCCGAGGAAAGGAAAGGGGUUUUGAGAAGAGAAGUUCAUUCUCUACAGAUGUGACCAAGGCAACUCGGGAGAGAGUGUCCAAACCACAGACAUGUUUCCUGUGCAACAAAGAAAAUCAUCACUUGAGUGAAUGCAAGAUAUUCCUUUCCAAGUCAUUGACAGAGAGGAAAGACUUUGUGAUGAAAAAUGGACUGUGCUUCGGCUGCCUAUGUCGAGGCCACAGAUCUAAGGAGUGCCGCUACAGGAAGACAUGCAGUACCUGUGCCAAGAAACAUCCCACUGCACUCCAUGGCGAUGUCAAGAAGCAAGAUAAACAAGAUGCACAGACGAAACCAGAGCAUCCACCAGUGGUGUCAACGAGCUCACAUACAAGAAUAAGCCAUCUCAAUAAAACAUCAGAAGGCAGCAAAGCAUCCAUGAUUGUUCCAGUGUGGAUAUCCCAUCAAGACAGCCCUGAAAGGGAACGCUUAAUCUACGCUCUGCUUGACACACAGUCGGACACAACCUUCAUUCUGGACAGCACAUGUAAAGCUAUCGGAGCUGAAGGACCUAAGGUACAGCUGUUGUUGUCCACUAUGUAUUCCAAGAACGAGCGAGUUGACUCUAAAAAGAUCGAAGGUCUACAAGUUCGUGGUCACGACAGUGAAGUUGGAAUAAGUCUCCCUGCAACAUUCACAAGAGAUGUCAUGCCGGCAAAUCGCUCCCAUAUCCCUACUACCAGAAUGGCUGACAAUUGGCCACAUCUGCAGAUGAUGGCGAACGAAUUGAUGCCAUUGUCAGACUGUGAAAUUGGGUUGCUGAUCGGCUACAACUGCGCCCGGGCACUUGCGCCUCGGGAAGUGAUACCCCCUACCGAUGAUGAGCCCUUUGCUCAGAGAACAGACCUGGGGUGGGGUAUCGUCGGCAUCGUGAACCCUGAUUCAGAUGACUGUGACAACAGCGUGGACCCCAUCGGCGUAAGCCACAGAGUCCUCUCAUGCGAAGCCCCAUAUGAUGAUUCUGACGAGUUAGCAGUACAGAGUCAUUCUCUGAUCUCCUUCAAAACUCGAGUCAAGGAAGUUAUUAGCCCUCUGGACAUAACAGAGAUGAUGAGCCUGGAUUUUUCAGAGCGACCUUCAGAGGACAAACCCUUUUCACAAGAUGACAAGAAGUUUCUUGCCAAGGUAAAGGAAGGAAUCCAUCAGCGGCCAGACGGCUACUAUGAAAUGCCUCUACCCUUUCGAGAGAGCAGCCCAGACCUUCCAAACAACAAGUCACUGGCUCUGCAUCGCUUGAACUAUCUCAAGUGCCGAUUCAGGAAGAAUCCAAGGUUCUAUGAUGACUACAACUCCUUUGUAGGUGAUAUCAUACAGAAAGGCCAUGCAGAACGAGUACCAGUUGGAGAUUGCAGCAGUAACAAGGCCGGGGUGUGGUACAUUCCCCACCACGGCAUCUAUCAUCCGAAAAAACCAGGAAAGAUCCGCGUGGUCUUCGACUGCAGCGCAACAUUCAAAGGAGUGUCUUUGAACGGCCAUCUUCUGCAGGGCCCAGAUAUGAUCAACAACCUUGUUGGCAUACUGUGCAGAUUCCGGCAAAAUCCCAUUGCAUUCAUGUGUGAUGUGGAGCAAAUGUUCCACCAGUUUAAGGUAAACUGCGAACACCGCGACUAUCUGAGGUUCCUUUGGUGGGAAGGUGGAGACUUCAAUACUGAUCCUUUGGAGUACAGAAUGUGUGUACACUUGUUUGGGGCCGUAUCGUCCCCUGGAUGUGCCAACUUUGGCUUGAAGUCCAUUGCAGAGGACUACUGGAGCGAGUGCGGAGAGCAGGCAGCCCAAUUUGUCCAACGAGACUUCUAUGUAGAUGAUGGGUUGAAGUCCGUCUGCUGUUCUAGCGAAGCCAUCAGUCUUAUCAACCAAACCAAGGAUCUAUGUUCACGAGGUGGGCUCCACCUUCACAAAUUCGUGUCCAACUCCCGGGAUGUGAUGGAGUGUAUCGAGCCAAAGCAGCGAGCAAAGGGCAUCCAGGACCUCGAUCUAAUUCACGAUACUCUCCCGGUUGAAAGAGCUUUAGGUGUCCAGUGGUGCGUAGAGUCUGACUGUUUCAAUUUCCGCAUCACUCUACAAGAUAAGCCCUUGACGAGACGAGGCAUCCUGUCGACAAUCGGAUCUAUCUAUGAUCCACUAGGCUUUGUUGCACCUGUGCUGCUGACGGGAAGAAGAAUCUUACAAGAUCUAUGUAGAAAUCAAGUCGACUGGGAUUCACCACUAGACGACGAGAUCAGGUCACGCUGGGAGUGCUGGAGAGGAAGUCUCCCUCGCCUCGAAGAGCUGAAGAUACCCCGAUGCUACCAGCCAGACACCUUUGGAAAUGUGGUGUCUAGAGAACUCCAUCACUUCUCAGAUGCCAGUACUGUUGGCUACGCACAGUGUACCUACCUUAGGCAGACUGAUGAUCAAAACAGAGUCCACUGUUCACUUGUGAUGGGAAAGAGUCGAGUGACCCCCUUGAAACUGACUACAAUACCAAGGCUCGAGCUCACGGCAGCAGUGGUGUCUGUCAGAGUGGGUUCCCUCCUUGCCAGAGAGCUGGACAUUGACGCAAGACACUUCUACUGGACUGAUAGCAAGAUCGUGCUGGGCUACAUCAACAACGAGACCCGAAGAUUCCAUGUCUUUGUGGCAAACAGAGCUCAGCAAAUAAGGAAUCAUUCAGACCCCAGCCAAUGGAGACAUGUUGCUUCCGAAGAAAAUCCAGCAGACGAAGGUUCAAGAGGCAUCACACCCUCGGAGCUUGCAACUUCCAAGUGGCUCAAGGGACCAGCAUUCCUGUGGGAAGAAAAUCUCCCCAUGGAACAAAACCCAGGCUACCAACUCAUUGAAGGCGAUCCAGAAGUUAGGGCCGUACAAGUCAUGGCGACACAGUCAACACUGCCUGCGAUAGAUCUGACACGCUUUUCAGACUGGCGCCAAGCUAAGCGAGUCAUUGCUACCUGCAUAGACUUCAAGAAAAGGCUUCAAAAUCGCCAUGAGAGGAUAUCUCCAGAGGUAACCCAGAAUGAUGGCCAACAGAUGGCAGCCAUCCCCGACAAAGAACGUCUCACUGUCCAAGACAUACAACAUGCUGAGAUCCAGAUACUCAAACUCACACAGAAGGAAGCAUUUCCUCGAGAAUUGCAUGCACUUUCAGAUCUCGAUGUAAAUGACAGUGACAUCGACAGACACACAGCGAGAAAACGGAAUCGUACCCUGAAGAAGACUAGCUCUCUCUUCAGACUUGAUCCCUUUAUAGAUGAGGAUGGCGUUAUGAGAGUUGGUGGGCGCAUCCAGAAAGCAGAAACAUCGUUUGGCUUCAAGCAUCCAGCAAUUCUUCCUCGUAAACACUGCGUCACAGAGAUGAUAGUCCGUUACUUUCAUCAGCAAGUCGCCCACCAAGGUCGAGGCAUGACAACACAAGCUGUAAGAUCUAAUGGCUUCUGGAUAAUCGGCUGCAGUUCAGCGGUGGCCAGUUUGAUUCAUCGAUGCGUAAAGUGUCGCAGAUUGUAUAGUAAACCUGGAGAGCAGAAAAUGGCCAAUCUCCCCGAAGAUAGACUCCAGCCUGCGCCGCCUUUCACUUACUGUGGCGUUGAUUACUUUGGGCCAUGGACCGUAAAGGAAGGUAGAAGGGAAGUGAAACGGUAUGGGGUGUUAUUCACCUGCAUGGCAUCAAGGGCAAUCCAUAUCGAAGUGGCCAACUCCCUCACCACGGAUGCUUUUAUCAAUGCUCUGCGUCGCUUCACCGCUGUGCGCGGGUCAGUAAGACUACUUAGAUCAGAUCAAGGCACCAACUUCGUCGGUGCAGAGUCAGAACUGAAGAGAGCUCUGGAAGAAAUUGACCAGACCAAAGUUCAACACUUCCUUGAAGGAAAGGGAUGUGACUACCCUACUACAAAGAUGAAUGCUCCUUCAGCAAGUCACGCAGGAGGGGUUUGGGAGAGACAAAUUAGAUCAGUGAGGAGAGUGCUCAAUGCCCUUGUGGAUCAGCAUGGGACGCAACUCGAUGACGAAUCACUAAGGACUCUUAUGUGUGAGUGUGCAGCAAUCGUCAAUGGUCGACCCUUGUCAGUUGACAACCUAAAUGACCCUAAAUCGCCAGAACCACUCACUCCCAACCAUUUGCUUACCUUGAAGUCCAGCGUCAUCCUCCCACCACCAGGUACAUUUCAAUGCGUUGAUGUGUACUCUAAGAAACGUUGGAGAAGGGUCCAACACCUGGUUAACGAGUUUUGGGCUCGAUGGAAGAAAGAGUAUCUACAUACCCUUCAAGUGCGUCAGAAAUGGACCAAGGAGAAACCGGAAGUGAAAGUGGGAGACGUCGUCAUAAUCAUGGAUGAUAACCUACCACGUAACCAAUGGCAGCUCGGUCGAGUGACAGAAGUCUUUCCGAGUACCGACGGGCACGUUCGAAGAGCAAAGCUCGCUGUAGCUGAUUCUACCUUGGAUGCCAAAGGCAAGAAGACCCGUCCAUCCAGAUUUCUCGAACGCCCAAUUCAGAAGCUCGUUGUCCUUCUGGAAAGCCAGUAGCAGGAAACCGGAAUCCCCACCGGGAAGCCUUUGAUUACCCUUAAUUUGUGGUAUAUGUAAUCUCAGUAACCCAGUACACUGUUCUUUAGAAAGUUUAGAUCCUGUUUAGUUAUUGAGACCUAUAAGGUGUUGGCACCGGUUAGUGCCCGUUUGAUUUAAACCUGCUAAUAUACAUGUGUUACUAGCUUAAAGGGUUCUUGCUGAUUGUAUUCUAAUUGUUGACAGUGUUCCCUUUUUGAUGUUAAAAUUAGAUUGCUAAUUUUGGGGAGCCAUGUAAAUGUAUCCUGAUGAAUACACUUUUUGGAAUAGCGCCCUCUGUUGAGGGACAGUGUACCGCAUAGCAACUAAAAACGCAAUGGACGACCUCAUGGUAGCUAAUCUUUUCGACACCGACUUUAAUCGUUUUGAAUCUGAAAUCUGCUGAUGAUACUGAUCAUUAAUCACAAUAGGAUGCAAGGAGUUUUCACGGAGCCAAUAAAUACAUGUAGAACCUGAUGAGGCUUUUGUCGAAACCCUUGCAUUUCUAUGACCUGCGACCUAUGACCCACACCUGUGCGAUUCCCCAGCUGUAGCACUAGAAUUGAGGAGCUAUACCACCUGAAGUGCUGC